rnacentral:lncRNA from 1 species
AUAAGCGGCGUGCACUGUAUAUAUCUUAGAAAAAAUUAACAUAAAAGUUCAAUAUAAAGGAACAAAUAUGGUUUAGGAUAUGAGGCAGGUUAUGCUGGUUCUUUCAUAAAGCAUAACUCCAGGCAUUAGAAAUAAAUUCAUUUGUUUGUUUAUUAUUUACAUUUUAUGGGCUGAUCUUUAUAAUUUCAAUAGAUUCAUUUAUUCUUCCUUCUUUUACAUCAUGGCACUUUAUCACUCUAGUCCCAUUCCAUUCAAUUACCAAUCCAUGUUUUUAGAAUCUUUAACUAAGAUUGGUAGAUAAAUUGCCUAUUUUUGAAUCAUGUUUAUGCUUUUACAAUAUUAUUAUUUGUGUUCUUUUGGUUAUCAUUUACAUUAUAUUUUAAGCUACACAACAACAAGCAUCAUACAUAGAAAUGACAAUGAGGACAUCAGCACAAAGAAUAGAGGAGCACAAAAACAAUAUUGCCAAAGGGAAACUAAUCACUACCCUAUCCAUAAAGGCUUACAACAAUGAUCUAAAGAUAGAAUGGGAUAAGGCAAGCACAGUAAAGCCAACAGCUAAAAAAUCCCAAGUGCUAAUGACAGAAGCAUUAGAAAUUUUGAAAAGACAAAGAAGGAGCAACUGCUGAAUGACAGGCCAACUGUGGAACUGCCAUCAGCAUGGCGCUAUUUGCUUGAAGCAUGGAGAAAUGGCUUAAUAAAAUAAUAACAAACCAAGAAGAAAAAUGAGAAUGUUUAAUCUAGGACAGAACCAGGCAUAGGAGCAUAUAUGUUUAUGAGCAAUGGAAGACUAUACACAACAACACGUGUUAAUACUCUUUAUAUUAUUAUUACCCAGGGUCCUUUAAAUGCCUUUAUACCUCCUUCUGUAUUUUCUAUAUUAAUUAUAAUUGUAUGUAUUUAUUUAUGUUUAUUUAAUUUUUCUCUUUUAUUGUUCUUGAAAUGUAACUAUAGUAUCCAACCAUUUUAGAAUUUUAUGUAUUCGAUGUUCUUUUUAUUUAAUUUAGUAACCAGAUGAUGGUAUACCUAUACUGAAAACAUUAGCUACCAAUAAAAAAUUUGGUGUUAAGAACAUUUCACAACUGCAAAGACUACUGUUUAUUGAUUUUGUAUUUAAAAAAGUGAAUAAGCAGUUUGUUAAAAAAUAUAGAUCCCAUCAAAAACAUUUCAAGUGUAAAAAAUGUAGCUAAGUCUCGUGCCUCUUUAUCCGUAAAAAGUUGUGAGAUAUCAUGAGAGCCAAGUCUAGCGC